rnacentral:piRNA from 1 species
UGUGUGCUCAGGGGAACUUGGUUUAUGGU